rnacentral:lncRNA from 1 species
UUACAGCAACACUUCUGGUAGCAGCACAAGGAAUUCAGGCCCUUGCAAGAGGAUUUUCAGGAUGCACAGCACAACCUCUAACCAGAGCCCUCACAAAGAGUUCCCGUGCCCAGGGUGGAAGUGCAGCCACGUGGUCUGGACAGGCUGGGAGUUCAGCACUGAGAAACCACAAAGUCAUACUGCAAAAACCCAUGAUCUAAAAUGCAGGGCUUUGUUGCAGACAGUUGGCUGCUCCUUGGACAUCACUAAUCCCUUGG